ACAAGCAGUGGGAGCACCCUUCGGGGUGUGACUGCGUACCUUUUGUAUAAUGGGUCAGCGACUUAUAUUCUGUAGCAAGGUUAACCGUAUAGGGGAGCCGGAGGGAAACCGAGUCUUAAUUGGGCGUUAAGUUGCAGGGUAUAGACCCGAAACCCGGUGAUCUAGCCAUGGGCAGGUUGAAGGUUGGGUAACACUAACUGGAGGACCGAACCGACUAAUGUUGAAAAAUUAGCGGAUGACCUGUGGCUGGGGGUGAAAGGCCAAUCAAACCGGGAGAUAGCUGGUUCUCCCCGAAAGCUAUUUAGGUAGCGCCUCGUGAAUUCAUCUCCGGGGGUAGAGCACUGUUUCGGCUAGGGGGCCAUCCCGGCUUACCAACCCGAUGCAAACUGCGAAUACCGGAGAAUGUUAUCACGGGAGACACACGGCGGGUGCUAACGUCCGUCGUGAAGAGGGAAACAACCCAGACCGCCAGCUAAGGUCCCAAAGUCAUGGUUAAGUGGGAAACGAUGUGGGAAGGCCCAGACAGCCAGGAUGUUGGCUUAGAAGCAGCCAUCAUUUAAAGAAAGCGUAAUAGCUCACUGGUCGAGUCGGCCUGCGCGGAAGAUGUAACGGGGCUAAACCAUGCACCGAAGCUGCGGCAGCGAACGUAUCACCCAAGACAACUUUACGGAGUUGACGAUUGACGGAGCGAAGCGACGUCAAAGCGUUCAUUAAAGUCGAGUUGGCUUAGGGAUACGUUCGUUGGGUAGGGGAGCGUUCUGUAAGCCUGUGAAGGUGUGUCGUGAGGCAUGCUGGAGGUAUCAGAAGUGCGAAUGCUGACAUAAGUAACGAUAAAGCGGGUGAAAAGCCCGCUCGCCGGAAGACCAAGGGUUCCUGUCCAACGUUAAUCGGGGCAGGGUGAGUCGACCCCUAAGGCGAGGCCGAAAGGCGUAGUCGAUGGGAAACGGGUUAAUAUUCCCGUACUUGGUGUUACUGCGAAGGGGGGACGGAGAAGGCUAUGUUGGCCGGGCGACGGUUGUCCCGGUUUAAGCGUGUAGGUGUGUGUUCCAGGUAAAUCCGGUUCACUUUAACACUGAGGCGUGACGACGAGGCACUACGGUGCUGAAGCAACAAAUGCCCUGCUUCCAGGAAAAGCCUCUAAGCAUCAGGUAACACGAAAUCGUACCCCAAACCGACACAGGUGGUCAGGUAGAGAAUACCAAGGCGCUUGAGAGAACUCGGGUGAAGGAACUAGGCAAAAUGGUGCCGUAACUUCGGGAGAAGGCACGCUGACACGUAGGUGAAGUGAUUUACUCAUGGAGCUGAAGUCAGUCGAAGAUACCAGCUGGCUGCAACUGUUUAUUAAAAACACAGCACUGUGCAAACACGAAAGUGGACGUAUACGGUGUGACGCCUGCCCGGUGCCGGAA
rnacentral:rRNA from 1 species